rnacentral:rRNA from 1 species
GACGAACGCUGGCGGCGCGCCUAACACAUGCAAGUCGAACGAGCGAGAGAGAGCUUGCUUUCUCGAGCGAGUGGCGAACGGGUGAGUAACGCGUGAGGAACCUGCCUCAAAGAGGGGGACAACAGUUGGAAACGACUGCUAAUACCGCAUAAGCCCACGGUGCCGCAUGGCACAGAGGGAAAAGGAGCAAUCCGCUUUGAGAUGGCCUCGCGUCCGAUUAGCUAGUUGGUGAGGUAAUGGCCCACCAAGGCGACGAUCGGUAGCCGGACUGAGAGGUUGAACGGCCACACUGGGGCUGAGACACGGCCCAGACUCCUACGGGAGGCAGCAGUGGGGAAUAUUGCACAAUGGGGGAAACCCUGAUGCAGCGACGCCGCGUGGAGGAAGAAGGUCUUCGGAUUGUAAACUCCUGUUGUUGGGGAAGAUAAUGACGGUACCCAACAAGGAAGUGACGGCUAACUACGUG